UACGUAGGUGGCGAGCGUUGUCCGGAUUUACUGGGCGUAAAGGGCUUGUAGGCGGUCCGUUAAGUCCGAUGUGAAAUCUCCCGGCUCAAUUGGGAGAGGUCAUUGGAUACUGGCGGACUAGAGGGGGGUAGAGGAAAGCAGAAUUCCUGGUGUAGCGGUGAAAUGCGUAGAUAUCAGGAGGAAUACCAGUGGCGAAGGCGGCUUUCUGGGCCUACCCUGACGCUGAGGAGCGAAAGCGUGGGGAGCAAACCGG
rnacentral:rRNA from 1 species